UUGAAAUAGGACAAAAUAUCGUGGGCUUUAUGCUUGCUUGUUUUGUGUGUUAUUUUUUUUUCUCAUUUAGAGUGAAUUUGUUUUUCCAAAAUCACUUGAAGAAGAAUUCUAAAUUGCAGUUGGAAGACAGAAAUAUCCAGAUUUCAUCCAGAGAAUCCUGCAAGCAGAAAUGAAGCAACAAGCACAACAACCUUAAGAAUGAGCUCAAACAUAUUCCUCUACCAAGGAAUCAGGAGGAUUUGCCAUCAGGAUUGGCAUAGCAGCUUUGUGAUGUUCUGAGUUUGAUUCAUGGAAAGUUACUUUAAUGAAAAUUGCUGAAAUCCUACAGUGAGAUCUGAAGCUCCUCCUUGAAUUCCUAAAAAAAAAAUCUUCCAUGUGGCUGCCCUAGAACAGCAGUUUUGGGGGCACAAAUUU